CCUACGGGUGGCAGCAGUGAGGAAUAUUGGUCAAUGGGCUUACGCCUGAACCAGCCAAGUCGCGUGAGGGAAGACUGCCCUAUGGGUUGUAAACCUCUUUUGUCAGGUAGCAAUUGGCGCUACGUGUAGCGUUAUCGAGAGUACAUGAAGAAAAAGCAUCCGCUAAAUACGGGCCAGCAGCCGCGGUAAUACGUAGGACCCGAGCGUUAUCCGGAUUUAUUGGGUUUAAAGGGAGCGUAGAUGGGUUGUUAAGCCAGUUGUGAAAGUUUGCGGCUCAACCGUAAGAUUGCUAUUGAUACUGGCAGUCUGGAGUACAGUUGGGGUAGGCGGAAUUCGUGGUGUAGCGGUGAAAUGCUUAGAUAUCACGAAGAACACCGAUGGCGAAGGCAGCUUACUAAACUGCCACUGACAUUGAUGCUCGAAAGUGUGGGUAUCAAACAGGAUUAGAUACCCUUGUAGUC
rnacentral:rRNA from 1 species